ACCUCGGUGGUGCAGUGGCAGCACGUCCCCGCUAUGGAUGAAACGCGGGUUCGAUUCCCGCCUGAGGUC